ACGUAGGUGGCAAGCGUUAUCCGGAAUUAUUGGGCGUAAAGAGUGAGCAGGCGGCAAGCUAAGUCUGAAGUCAAAUACAUGGGCUCAACCCAUGUUCGCUUUGGAAACUGGCUAGCUAGAGUAUUGGAGAGGUAAACGGAAUUCCAUGUGGAGCGGUAAAAUGCGUAGAUAUAUGGAGGAACACCGGUGGCGAAGGCGGUUUACUAGCCAAAUACUGACGCUCAGUCACGAAAGCGUGGGGAGCAAAUAG
rnacentral:rRNA from 1 species